GCAAAGUAGAUCGAUAUGCGUUAAGUGCCUGGUGAACGGGGAGUUGUCACCGGGACGAAAAGUAUGAAACUUGCGGUAUAUCGUUCGCAUCCCGUUG
rnacentral:ncRNA from 1 species